rnacentral:misc_RNA from 1 species
CAGAGUUGCAAAACUCCCACAAACCAUCGCGAAUCUUACCCGUACGGUUUGCCUCGGCGCCUGGCGGUCCGGAAGGCCCUCGGGCCCCCCCGGAUCCUCGGGUCUCCCCGCCUCGCGGGAGGCUGCCCGCCGGAGUGCCGAAAACCAAACCUCUUGAUAUUUUAAUGUCUCUCUGAGUAAACUUUUAAAAUAAGUCAA